GCGCCCGUAGCUCAGUCGGUAGAGCGUGCAGUGCAACGGUGAUCCACAGUCCCGGGUUCAAGUCCCGGCGGUCGCU